rnacentral:rRNA from 1 species
GAUGAACGCUAGCGGGAGGCUUAAUACAUGCAAGUCGAACGAAGAACGGCCUUCGGGCUUAUUAAGAGUGGCGCACGGGUGAGUAACGCGUACACAACCUACCUAUAAGAGGGGGAUAGCCUCUGGAAACGGAGAGUAAUACCGCAUAAUAUUAGGAAAUUGAUAAUUACCUAAUUAAAGUUUCGGCGCUUAUAGAUGGGUGUGCGUACUAUUAGCUAGUUGGUAAGGUAACGGCUUACCAAGGCGACGAUAGUUAGGGGGCGUGAGAGCGUGAACCCCCACACGGGUACUGAGACACGGACCCGACUCCUACGGGAGGCAGCAGUAAGGAAUAUUGGACAAUGGGCGGAAGCCUGAUCCAGCCAUCCCGCGUGUAGGAAGACUGCCCUAUGGGUUGUAAACUACUUUUAGAUAGGAAGAAACGCCUGUAUUUAUGCAGGUUUGACGGUACUAUCAGAAUAAGCACCGGCUAACUCCG